UGCAGCCAUGUCAAAUUCCAUAUUCAUGAUAUACAUUGUGAUUAUGGGCCUAAGUGGCUGCCACAGAAUAAUUGUAGUUCAUGGGCCUCACAUCUAUGUUGAUGACGAGGAUACAGUUAUACUACAGACAGUU